rnacentral:rRNA from 1 species
GUCUAUGUCCAUGCUACCUUGAACAAGUUGGAUCCUGUUGGAUCUCGGAAGCUAAGCAGGGUCGGUCCUGGUUAGUUCUCGGAUGGGAGACCACCUAGGACGAUCAGGUGAUGUAGGUG